rnacentral:rRNA from 1 species
UACGGAGGAUGCAAGCGUUAUCCGGAAUUAUUGGGCGUAAAGCGUCCGCAGGUGGUUCAUCAAGUCUGCUGUCAAAGCGUGGAGCUUAACUCCAUAUCGGCGGUGGAAACUGAUGAACUAGAGUUCGGUAGGGGUCACGGGAAUUCCCAGUGUAGCGGUGAAAUGCGUAGAUAUUGGGAAGAACACCAGCGGCGAAAGCGCGUGACUGGACCGGUACUGACACUCAUGGACGAAAGCUAGGGGAGCGAAAGGG